GACGAACGCUGGCGGCGUGCUUAACACAUGCAAGUCGAACGGACAGGCCCUUCUUUUGUUGGGUUCUCGAGUGGCGAACGGGUGAGUAACUCUUUAGUUACCUGCCCUUUCCUUUGCGAUAACUUCAUGAAACUGGGGCUUAUACCGGCUUGGAGCUCCUGCUUCAUGUUGGGUUUUGGUUAGUUUCGGCGGUUGGGGAUGGACUCGCGGCUUCUCAGCUUGUUGUUGAGGUAGUGGAUUAUCAAGGCUUUGAAGGGUAGCAGGCGUGAGAGGGUGACCGGCCACAUUGGGACAGAGAUACGGGCCAGAGUAGUACGGGAGGCAGCAGUGGGGAAUAUUGGGCGAUGGACGGAAGCCGGAUGCAGCAACGAGGCGGGAGGGAUGAAGGCCUUCGGGUGGUAAAAAGAUUGGGCAUGGGAAGAAGCGUGAGAAUCGGUAAAGGGUAAAGAAGCACCGGCUAACUACGUG
rnacentral:rRNA from 1 species